rnacentral:rRNA from 1 species
ACGCUCGACACCUACGGGAGGCAGCAGUGAGGAAUAUUGGUCAAUGGACGCAAGUCUGAACCAGCCAUGCCGCGUGCAGGAUGACGGCUCUAUGAGUUGUAAACUGCUUUUGUACGAGGGUAAACGCAGAUACGUGUAUCUGUCUGAAAGUAUCGUACGAAUAAGGAUCGGCUAACUCCGUACCAGCAGGCGCGGUAAUCUGAGCGGGCUGGCAAGGC